AUUGAACGCUGGCGGCAUGCCUUACACAUGCAAGUCGAACGGUAACAGGUCUUCGGAUGCUGACGAGUGGCGAACGGGUGAGUAAUACAUCGGAACGUGCCUAGUAGUGGGGGAUAACUACUCGAAAGAGUGGCUAAUACCGCAUGAGAUCUACGGAUGAAAGCAGGGGAUCGCAAGACCUUGUGCUACUAGAGCGGCCGAUGGCAGAUUAGGUAGUUGGUGGGAUAAAAGCUUACCAAGCCGACGAUCUGUAGCUGGUCUGAGAGGACGAUCAGCCACACUGGGACUGAGACACGGCCCAGACUCCUACGGGAGGCAGCAGUGGGGAAUUUUGGACAAUGGACGCAAGUCUGAUCCAGCCAUUCCGCGUGCAGGAUGAAGGCCCUCGGGUUGUAAACUGCUUUUGUACGGAGCGAAAAGGCUUCCACUAAUACUGGGGGCUCAUGACGGUACCGUAAGAAUAAGCACCGGCUAACUUCGUGCCAGCCGCCGCGGUAACAC
rnacentral:rRNA from 1 species